GUUAUCACCACAGCCCUCUGUAGUCCUGUUGGGUAAAGUUAACAGGACUGCUGUUGGAUCAGAUGUUAUCACCACAGCCCUCUGUAGUCCUGUUGGGUAAAGUUAACAGCUGUUGGAUCAGACCACAUUUAUUGGAACUAAUGGUGCAUUGUUUGUUAUUGUUUGAAAUGGAAAUUCAAAGGCUGCGAUUCAAUCCGAUCGCACGUUGCAGUGCUCUUGACAUCGAAAGUGCAUUUCCAGCUGAGCCACGUUAACAGAGGUUUACCUUGAAGGUCACCUCUGUGAUAGUGUGCACGCGGUGUAGCGAGCCUUGAAUUGAAUCGUGACCAACGUCUUGAUUCAGGGCUCACAAUUCCUUUCUCCUAAGUCUGUGUAGGGUGAGUUUUAUUCAUCCCUAUACAGAGAGAUACGCCAAUGACAAUGUUUUCUACCAUCAAAUAUGAUGAUAAUGUAUUGAUAAAAAAUCUGUAUCAACUAUUUUGCUGUAUAGUUUCCAUUUUACAAAGAUGUUAAAUGAGACCGUUGUGAGUAAAUGGCGUUAGUGUUGUUAUUUCUUUG
rnacentral:lncRNA from 1 species